rnacentral:tRNA from 1 species
GGAGGAAUACCCAAGUCUGGCUGAAGGGAUCGGUCUUGAAAACCGACAGGGGGGGUGUCAAAGCCGCGGGGGGGUUCGAAUCCCUCUUCCUCCU